rnacentral:tRNA from 36 species
GCGCGAUUAGCUCAGCGGGAGAGCACUACCUUGACACGGUAGGGGUCACUGGUUCAAUCCCAGUAUCGCGCACCA